rnacentral:misc_RNA from 1 species
GUUCGUUCCAUCAUUUAAAACUCCCUUGAAUACCUUACCAAAGCCACCUAUCCCAAUGACCAAACUCUCAUCAAACUUUUUGGUUGCUGCUAGCAUGGCUGCAAAAGGAAUGCGAUAACUCAAGUUAGAAGCAGCACUUAAGGUCGUCCCGUUUGAGUAUUUGCUUCCCAUAGUAUGAGACAAGCCACCACCACCUAUAGACAAAGGAAUCCAUGUUUUCGACAGGCCAAGUUGUUCCUGCUUUCUUCUUCUGCGCAUACAAAACAGAAAACCAAUCACGAGCAACACAAGUGUCACGCCUACAACCGCGCCCACGAUGACUCCAAUAUUCUUUUUUGAACCCGAGCUCGA